UGUGAAUAACAAAACUAACAAAUUCAAACAACAAUACUCCACAAACAUACAGUUUAUAAUGUUGACGGAGUAGAGAACAAGUUCAAAACGGAUGAUUCAGCGGAAAACUAACCGGAUAUGAAACCCUAGAUUCUGAAAAAACAGUAGGAACAUGGAUGGAAUUUGCUGAGGGUAACAUCGAUCGAACGCUGAUGACGAGGAGAAUCGAAAUAUACCCGCUCUGAUACCAUGUUAAUAUUCUACAUCCUCCGAUUGAAGGAAGAAAUUGAAGAAGAUGAACAUAUGAGAAGAGAGAGAAGAGAGAGAGAAAAGGGAACUGAAGAGUCCCG
rnacentral:lncRNA from 1 species